UAGAUAGGUGACCUAAGCCGGCAUAUUC
rnacentral:sRNA from 1 species